rnacentral:rRNA from 1 species
GUCGAGAGGCUUCGUCAAUGGGGGAAACCCUGAACGAGCGACGCCGCGUGGGGGAUGAAGGCCUUCGGGUUGUAAACCCCUGUCGUGCGGGGAGAAGGAUCAGGCGGCAAACAGUCGCAGGAUCUCGACGGUACCGCAAAAGGAAGCUCCGGCUAACUCCGUGCCAGCAGCCGCGGUAAUACGGGGGGAGCGAACGUUGUUCGGAAUCACUGGGCGUAAAGGGCGCGCAGGCGGCCUCGUAAGUGGGAUGUGAAAGCCCCUGGCCCAACCAGGGAACUGCGUCUCAUACUGUGGGGCUUGAGUGCAGAAGAGGAUGGGGGAAUUCCCGGUGUAGCGGUGAAAUGCAUUGAUAUCGGGAGGAACACCAGUGGCGAAGGCGCCCAUCUGGUCUGCUACUGACGCUCAGGCGCGAAAGCCGGGGGAGCAAACAGGAUUAGAUACCCGUGUAGUCC